UAGAGUGUUCAAGACCAAGAAAAACGAAAUGGCAAAAAAAAAAAAGAAGAAGAAGAGAAGAGAAGAGAAAUUAAGGUAGAAAGAAGGAAAGUGCUACGGUUUUGGGAGGACAAAAAGCAUCCCAAAACGUUACCAAACAGCCAAUAAGUUUCAGCUGCGCUAAAGGAAAUUCCGAGGCAAGUUUUGGCGAGUUUUGGUGAAUUUCGGGAAAGGUUCAAGAGGCGACGAGGCGAGCAUAGUUAAGAGUAAUCCGUAAGAGGUACGUAAAGCGAACCUUUCUUUCUUUUGGCAUGUCUUUGUCAUAAGUACGUAAAGCUUAUACUUUCUCUUCUUUUGGCAUGUAUUUGUUAUAAGUAUGUAAAACCUUUCUUUCUUUUGGCAUGUUUUUGACAUAAGUAUGUAAAGCAUAUUCUUUCGAUUUUCAUGUUUUGACAUAAGUAUGUAAAGCUAAUCUUUGUUUUGGUAUGGUAUUUAUGAAACAAAAUUAUGACUUUUAUAUAAUUUCAAAGAGGUUCCUAUUCCUAGAGCCAUUAGGAUGGCCAAUUCCUUGAUUUCCAAAAGGUAUUUUAUUAUGCUUCGAUACGUCUAUAUGAUUCCAGAAGAUUUAUUCUGAUAUAAUCCAGGGUAACUUUCGAAAGGUACUUGACAUGAGUCUCGUCUUGAUUUUUAAAUGAUAGCUCAUUCUGAUUAUUCCAUUGAGUCUUAAAUAUGAUUUAAAUUGCAUAUAGUUUCUCACUACUCCACUCGUGGAUGCCUCAAUGCUUCCUUCACUGAGCUUGGGCCAGGAUAUGUUAUCGUGCAUACUUCUCUGCAUUGUUAGUCGUGUCCCAACGUGAGGGGGUAGGUAUGACAUGUACAUGGGGUGGUGUAUGUUAUGCCACGGAGUUAUGCUGUGCCAUGUACACAUAUGCUUAUGAUAUGAUAUGAUUUGAUAUGGCCAUCUGAUAUGAUAUGAUAUGAUUUGUUAUGGAGAUAUUCCCUAUUCUGGUGUUAUGCUGUGCUGUGGCGCCAAUGACAGGAGGGCGACCACAUUUGUUCACCGAGUUCCAUAAUGGGGCCGGAUAUGGCAUAUGUUUUUCUGCAUACAUUAUCUGAGGUUUUGAUCAGCAUUUGAUAUCUCCAGACAUUUUGCUCAGUUUUGUACAUUCUAUUGCGGUAAUGACUUUACUUAUUACAACCCAUUAUAUGUGGUUUGAUAAGCAUUUGAUAUUUUUGGAUAUUUUGCUCAUUUUUGCACAUUCUGCUCUGGUAACGACUUUACUGAUUUCAGUCCAGGCUUUACAUACUCAGUACAUUUUCCGUACUGACCCCCUUUCUUCAGGAGCUGCGUUACAUACCCGCAGGUACAGACAAUUGGUUUGCUGAUCCGCUUGCUUAGGACAUCCACCAUGUUGGUAGACAGUGCUCCUUUGUUUGGAGCCCUAUUUUGGUACUGACACUUUCUGUUGUAUAUAUAUAUACGUUGUUCAGGGGUACGGCGGGGCCCUGUCCCGUCAUAUGACUAGGAUAUCAUUCCGUAGAGGUCUGUAGACAUGAGAUGUGGGUUUUAUAUAUAUGUU